rnacentral:rRNA from 1 species
GUGGUUAAGUUACUAAGGGCACACGGUGGAUGCCUUGGCGCUAGGAGCCGAAGAAGGACGCAGCGAACUGCGAUAAGCCUCGGGGAGCGGUAAGCACGCUUUGAUCCGGGGAUCUCCGAAUGGGGCAACCCACCAUCUGUAAUGGGAUGGUAUCCUUCACUGAAUCCAUAGGUGAUGAGAGGGCAGACCCGGUGAACUGAAACAUCUAAGUAGCCGGAGGAAGAGAAAACAAUAGUGAUUCCGUCAGUAGUGGCGAGCGAACGCGGAAGAGCCUAAACCGUCGGGUUUACCCGGCGGGGUUGUGGGGCGUCUCACAUGGAGUUACAAAGGAUGGAUGUAGAUGAACAGUCUGGGAAGGCUGACCAAAGAGCGUGACAGUCGCGUAAUCCAAACAUCCAUCCCUCCGAGACCAACCCCGAGUAGCACGGGACACGUGAAAUCCCGUGUGAAUCUGGCAGGACCAUCUGCUAAGGCUAAAUACUACCUAGCGACCGAUAGUGAACCAGUACCGUGAGGGAAAGGUGAAAAGCACCCCGGGAGGGGAGUGAAACAGUACCUGAAACCGUGUGCUUACAAAUAGUCGGAGCCCGUUAAAAGGGUGACGGCGUGCCUUUUGUAGAAUGAACCGGCGAGUUACGGUAGCGUGCGAGGUUAAGUCGAAGAGACGGAGCCGCAGCGAAAGCGAGUCUGAAUAGGGCGCAAGUACGUUGCCGUAGACCCGAAACCGUGUGAUCUAGCCAUGUCCAGGGUGAAGGUAGGGUAACACCUACUGGAGGCCCGAACCCACGCACGUUGAAAAGUGCGGGGAUGAGGUGUGGCUAGCGGUGAAAUUCCAAUCGAACUCGGAGAUAGCUGGUUCUCCCCGAAAUAGCUUUAGGGCUAGCCUCGGAAUUAGAGUCUUGGAGGUAGAGCACUGAUUGGGCUAGGGGCCCUCAUCGGGUUACCGAACUCAGUCAAACUCCGAAUGCCAAUGACUUAUGUCCGGGAGUCAGACGGUGAGUGCUAAGAUCCAUCGUCAAAAGGGAAACAGCCCAGACCAUCAGCUAAGGUCCCCAAGUAUACGUUAAGUGGGAAACGAUGUGGAGUUGCCCAGACAACCAGGAUGUUGGCUUAGAAGCAGCCACCAUUUAAAGAGUGCGUAAUAGCUCACUGGUCGAGUGACUCUGCGCGGAAAAUGUAACGGGGCUAAACGUAUCACCGAAGCUAUGGCAGUCCUUAUGGACUGGGUAGGGGAGCGUUCCAAGCAGCGGUGAAGCCGUACUGGAAAGAGCGGUGGAGCGCUUGGAAGUGAGAAUGCCGGUGUAAGUAGCGAAAAGACAAGUGAGAAUCUUGUCCACCGAAAGCCUAAGGGUUCCUGGGGAAGGCUCGUCCUCCCAGGGUUAGUCGGGACCUAAGCUGAGGCCGAAAGGCGUAGGCGAUGGACAACAGGUUGAUAUUCCUGUACCACCUCUGUUCCGCUUGAGUGAGUGGCGUGACGCAGGAGGAUAGGGUGAGCGGCCUACUGGAUGGCCGUCCAAGCAGUAAGCCUGGUGUGUAGGCAAAUCCGCACACCGCUAAGGGCAAGCUGUGAUGGCGAGGGAAAUUUUAGUACCGAAGUCCCUGAUUUCACACUGCCAAGAAAAGCGUCUAGCGAGGAACAAGGUGCCCGUACCGCAAACCGACACAGGUAGGCGAGGAGAGAAUCCUAAGGUGCGCGGGAUAACUCUUGCUAAGGAACUCGGCAAAAUGGCCCCGUAACUUCGGGAGAAGGGGCGCCCCGGUAGGGUGAGGGUCCCCACCCAACGUGAGCGUAAGCUUGCGUUGGGUGGGCUGAGCCCGAGGGGGCCGCAGUGAAAAGGCCCAAGCGACUGUUUAGCAAAAACACAGGUCUCUGCGAAGCCGCAAGGCGAAGUAUAGGGGCUGACGCCUGCCCGGUGCUGGAAGGUUAAGGGGAUGAGUUAGCGCAAGCGAAGCUUUGAACCGAAGCCCCAGUAAACGGCGGCCGUAACUAUAACGGUCCUAAGGUAGCGAAAUUCCUUGUCGGGUAAGUUCCGACCCGCACGAAAGGCGUAACGACUUGGGCGCUGUCUCGGCAAGAGACCCGGUGAAAUCAUAAUACCUGUGAAGAUGCAGGUUACCCGCGACAAGACGGAAAGACCCCAUGGAGCUUUACUGUAGCCUGGUAUUGGAACUUUGUGCAUCAUGUACAGGAUAGGUGGGAAGCUGAGAAGCAGGGGCGCCAGCCUCUGUGGAGCUGUCGGUGGGAUACCACCCUUGAUGUACGGAGUUUCUAACUCGUCGCCCUCAUCGGGCGAGAGGACCAUGCCAGGUGGGCAGUUUGACUGGGGCGGUCGCCUCCUAAAAGGUAACGGAGGCGCCCAAAGGUUCCCUCAGAAUGGUCGGAAAUCAUUCGUAGAGUGUAAAGGCAGAAGGGAGCUUGACUGCGAGACCUACAAGUCGAGCAGGGACGAAAGUCGGGCUUAGUGAUCCGGUGGUUCCGCAUGGAAGGGCCAUCGCUCAACGGAUAAAAGCUACCCUGGGGAUAACAGGCUUAUCUCCCCCAAGAGUCCACAUCGACGGGGAGGUUUGGCACCUCGAUGUCGGCUCAUCGCAUCCUGGGGCUGAAGUAGGUCCCAAGGGUUGGGCUGUUCGCCCAUUAAAGCGGUACGCGAGCUGGGUUCAGAACGUCGUGAGACAGUUCGGUCCCUAUCUGUCGCGGGCGCAGGAAGUUUGAGGAGAGCUGUCCUUAGUACGAGAGGACCGGGAUGGACGCACCUCUGGUGCACCAGUUGUCACGCCAGUGGCAUAGCUGGGUAGCUAUGUGCGGACGGGAUAAGCGCUGAAAGCAUCUAAGCGUGAAGCCCCCUCCAAGAUGAGACUUCCCACAGCGUUAAGCUGGUAAGACCCCUCAUAGACGAUGAGGUUGAUAGGUUCGGUGUGGAAGCGCGGCAACGCGUGGAGCUGACGAAUACUAAUCGGUCGAGGACUUAUCCACA